CAAAAAAUAGUUUAAUUAAAAAUGCUAGUUUUGGGGGCUAGUGUUGGGAUUUUUAUCUCUUUUUUGA
rnacentral:tRNA from 1 species